rnacentral:rRNA from 1 species
UACGGAGGGUGCAAGCGUUGUCCGGAUUUAUUGGGUUUAAAGGGUGCGUAGGCGGUCCGUUAAGUCAGUGGUGAAAUCCAGCAGCUCAACUGCUGAACUGCCAUUGAUACUGGCGGACUUGAGUACGGACGAGGUAGGCGGAAUUUAUGGUGUAGCGGUGAAAUGCAUAGAUACCAUAAAGAACACCGAUAGCGAAGGCAGCUUACUAGACCGUAACUGACGCUCAGGCACGAAAGCGUGGGGAGCGAACAGG